UACGUAGGGCGCAAGCGUUAUCCGGAAUUAUUGGGCGUAAAGAGCGUGUAGGCGGUCCGGUAAGUCCGCUGUGAAAGUCGGGGGCUCAACCCUCGAAUGCCGGUGGAUACUGUCGGGCUAGAGUGCGGAAGAGGCGAGUGGAAUUCCUGGUGUAGCGGUGAAAUGCGCAGAUAUCAGGAGGAACACCUAUUGCGAAGGCAGCUCGCUGGGACGUUACUGACGCUGAGACGCGAAAGCGUGGGGAGCAAACAGG
rnacentral:rRNA from 1 species